rnacentral:rRNA from 1 species
CCUACCCUACGGGAGGCAGCAGUGGGGAAUAUUGCACAAUGGGCGCAAGCCUGAUGCAGCGACGCCGCGUGAGGGAUGACGGCCUUCGGGUUGUAAACCUCUUUCAGUAGGGAAGAAGCGAAAGUGACGGUACCUGCAGAAGAAGCGCCGGCUAACUACGUGCCAGCAGCCGCGGUAAUACGUAGGGCGCGAGCGUUAUCCGGAAUUAUUGGGCGUAAAGAGCUCGUAGGCGGUUUGUCACGUCUGCCGUGAAAGUCCGGGGCUUAACCCCGGAUGUGCGGUGGGUACGGGCAGACUGGAGUGCAGUAGGGGAGACUGGAAUUCCUGGUGUAGCGGUGAAAUGCGCAGAUAUCAGGAGGAACACCGAUGGCGAAGGCAGGUCUCUGGGCUGUUACUGACGCUGAGGAGCGAAAGCAUGGGGAGCGAACAGGAUUAGAUACCCUGGUAGUCCAUGCCGUAAACGUUGGGCACUAGGUGUGGGGGCCAUUCCACGUUUUCCGCGCCGCAGCUAACGCAUUAAGUCCCCCGAGAUAGGCCAUACCCCCGGGUACGU